ACGUUUUAACCCAGCGGGUGCUGUAAACAGUACGUUGGCGGUUCACACCAGUUCAGAAGUAAGGUAUCUUAAAUUGCACUCGACAAUGUUGUGAAUACUUUAAAAUGCUUGAAGCCAUACUUGAUGCCUUCCAUAACGUGUAAAGUAAGAAGUUAGCCUGUGUUAAAAAGUGGUGAUCCCUGCAGAUUACCAAGGCAUCCAGUCUCCCAGCAAGUGCCAAGAGGCAUUCAUUCAAUGCUCCGCUGACACCAAUUUGCCCAAAGCCACUGGAUGGUAUAUCAGUUCACACAGCAAGAAGCCAAGGACCCACCGAGGCUGUCACUUGGAAGAGGUCAUUGUUGUUGCAUCCAGCAUCCCAGCCUGACUGCCUAGACAGGUCCCGCAGGUUGCUGAAUGGCAGAGGUGCAGGCUGCUCCACAGCAAAAUGUGAGACCAGUGUGGCAGAGUAUGAUGUGUACACAAUGAGGGGACACACUGUAGCCAACCCAGUAGAUUACCCGUGCUGCACUGCUGAUUGGGUCCUCACCUUGUUGUAGGAGAGCUGACAACAUGUACCAGCCAGCAGCAACUCCCAUGCUAACAGGCUUCUCCCCCGUGGGUAUGUAGCACCUCUGGAGUCGCUCGAUGAAGAAGAGGAUGCUGGCGAGGCCUGUCGUGUUAGCCGGGAUGCGCCGGUACAGAGCUGUGUCCGUUGGGGUUGUGUAGGGCAAGCAUCUUCUUGGCAAGGUCCUCGUGGGUGGCCGCAAACAGUUUACGGCUGUGGGAUGAGAACUUGUCUUGUGAAUGUGACGUUGGGCAGCGUUCGACCGUUUCUCUAGGGGCAAGCGACACCUCCUGGUGGGGGACUUCAAAUCUGCUUGUGGCUGCCUUCGAGGUGUGUCUGUUGCUUAGGUGUGGAGGCAACAGAGUCCCUGGUGGAGCUGUGUGGGGAGCAGGCGCCCGAGUGUGGUGACGCGUACUGCCGCUGUGGCCGUGCAUUGCUGGAGCUGGCACGCAAGGAGGGCAGGGGUGCUGGGGCCAGAUCUGGAUGGUGCCAGUAGUCAGGAGGGAAGCACAGGGGAAGAGGAGGACGAGGAGGAAGAGAGUUAAGAGUCACAAGAGGAGGCGGAAGGUGGAAAGAAAGAGGAAGGAGAGGAGGAGGAGGAGGAAGAUGGGGAAGGAAAGGAGAAAGAUAAGAAGGAAGGAAAUGCCGCAGAAGGAGAAGAGCAAUAAGAAAUUAGAAUUGACAGAGAAACCAGACAAGGGACUGCAUUUGAAGAAGCACAAGAACCAAGAAAUUUACAUAGCUUUCAUUUUGGUUUACAUUCUGAAAGGUACAGAUACCAAGGGGAAAUUGCUGGGUCAAGUGGCUACACUGACAUCUGAGGUUAGCAGGUUGGAGAGUGAGUGCAGCAGUUCUCAGGUUCAGCUAGACUGUGAGAGGGAUAAGUAUAACAAACUGCUGGGAGAAAUCUCUUGCUCAUGAAAAGUUGUCUGAAGAUGUCAUAACUGAACCAAAAGGAGAAACAACAGGAUUGGGAGGAACUGAGCUUUAACAGAAGCUGCAACAACUGCAGGAGGCUCACAGGGUCCUGGAGAGCAGGUUAACUUGCAGCAUGAAGGAGGUGGCUGAGCUGAGUGACAGGAAGUAGCAGCUUGAGCAUGCUGUAGUGCAUGAGGAGACAGAGUCCAUCGGUGACUACAUCACCAUCUACCAGUUGCAGCGAGGAGUGAUGAAGCAACAAGCUCGAGAACGCGAGUUAGACCUUGCCAGCCUCCAUCAUGAAUGAGAGGAAAUGAAGCAAAACCACUCUGCAGGAUUUGAUAUCAAAGCUGGUGCAGGAAAAGGAAGCAGAUCAUGACCUUCAGCAGCUCGAGAAGAUAAGCAGCGUCCUUAAGAGUCCAGUUGCUAUCUUUAGCAGUGUUGGAACCAGUGAGUCUGAGACACCCACCAGCAGUGGAAAGGUGGCUGACGAGCGCCUCAAGCACUCUGAAAAGGUGGAGCAACAACAAGAAACAGAAAAUUGCAUCCAUCAUUCUUUGCCUGAGGAGGGAAUUGAUGCUCUGUUGACCCUUCACACUGAUGUCCCUCAUGAGGAGGCAGAAUAUGAAUCCUACAGAACUUGCCCAUAGAAAGACCAAAACUGUUACUGCUGCCACACUGCCACCACUUCCACUGACACCAAAAGCCCAACUGUGCAGAGAAUCCUGGACCUCCGCAAUGAAAUGGAGUCCACCAGUCACCUGGAGCACUUUAGCCUCCAAAAGUUCCAUCCGUGUCCAUUGUGUUUGGGUAAACUUAUCACUGUAUAAGGGGACAAGUAUCAGUGUAUGGUUACUAUAUACUCAUUUGUACUUAAAGAUGUCAUGUCACAUCAUUCUCUCUCUCUCUCUCUCUCUCUCUCUCUCUCUCUCUCUCUCUCUCUCUCUCUCUCUCUCUCUCUCUCUCUCUCUCUCUCUCUCUCUCUCUCUCUCUCUCUCUCUCUCUCUCUCUCUCUCUCUCUCUCUCUCUCUGUUUGGAAUUAUACUGUAUAUUAGGAAAUAUCAUUAAAGAGUGUGUGUGUAAAAAGUGUUUGCAUUAUUGUGCAUUUGAUGUUGGUUUCAUGAUUUAUAAAGAUUGCUAUUUUUAAUAAAGUUAUUGAAAUUGUUA